rnacentral:rRNA from 1 species
UACGAAGGGAGCUAGCGUUGUUCGGAAUCACUGGGCGUAAAGCGCACGUAGGCGGAUGUGUCAGUCAGGGGUGAAAUCCCGGAGCUCAACUUCGGAACUGCCUUUGAUACAGCACGUCUUGAGUCCGAUAGAGGUGGGUGGAAUUCCUAGUGUAGAGGUGAAAUUCGUAGAUAUUCGCAAGAACACCAGUGGCGAAGGCGGCUCACUGGCCCGGUACUGACGCUGAGGCACGAAAGCGUGGGGGAGCAAACAGG